AUCCCAUCGAAAGGCGUUGGUUGCUAUANACAGCANGACGGUGGCCAUGGAAGUCGGAAUCCGCUAAGGAGUGUGUAACAACUCACCUGCCGAAGCAACUAGCCCUUAAAAUGGUAUGGCGCUGAAGCAUUCUCCCGAUACUCGACCGCCGGGGCGGUAGCGACCACGUCCCAGAGACGUGGUCACGAAUCCCCCCGGUGAGUAAGAGGGUCGCAGUGGUGAGCGCUGAAGGGAUCCGGCGUGAGCCGGCCUGGAGCCACCACUGGCGCAGAUCUUGGUGGUAGUAGCAAAUACUCGAGAGAGACUCCCUUGAAGACCGAUGUGGAGAAGGGUUCCAUGUGAACAUCAGUUGGACAUGGGUUAGUCGCUCCUAAGCCCAAGGCUAAGGCCUGAUCCCAUGCUAGCGGC
rnacentral:rRNA from 1 species